UAGAUGAAAGCCAAUUAGGCACCUAUCUGUUAAUUAGGCCUCUGCAGCUUAUUGCUGCUCAUCUAG
rnacentral:tRNA from 1 species